UACGUAGGCAGCAAGCGUUGUUCGGAGUUACUGGGCGUAAAGGGUGUGUAGGCGGUUCUUUAAGUUUGGUGUGAAAUCUCCCGGCUCAACUGGGAGGGUGCGCCGAAUACUGAGGGACUAGAGUACGGGAGAGGAAAGUGAAAUUCCUGGUGUAGCGGUGAAAUGCGUAGAUAUCAGGAGGAACACCGGUGGCGAAGGCGGCAUCCUGGACCGGUAUUGACGCUGAGGCGCGAAAGCCAGGGGAGCAAACGGG
rnacentral:rRNA from 1 species